CUAGGAGAGAAUGUUGAAAUGUCGGCAAAGUUCUACCAGAGUACACAGCGCAACAGUCCAGAAGACAAUAAUUUUAAUGAAAAUCUGAAAUCUCACCUAUUGGAUGUUGAAUUGUGUACAAAAUAUUAUUUUAAGUGUCAGUUACGGUCUUGAAGCGUAGGCCUAAUUGUGAAAAUAUGUUUUAACUUUUUCAGCGUAAUGACUGGCGGAGCCGGUAUCUCUCGUUUGGAUCAAGAUGUCUUUUGUAACGGAUGGGAGGUACGUCAAGAAAGAACGUGGAUGACAGAAAGGAGGAGAGAUUUAAAAAAGGCAAGAAAAAAGAUAGUGUUAUUUCCUUCUUCCUUAUGGACGAUAGAGAAAAUUGUGCACAUCAAUUCGAAGACUAGCAAUCACGGAAAUGCUUUGAGAUACAUGUAACAAGGUACCGAUUCUAGCCAACAUUAAAUCAUUCUGCACUUUUGAAAGUAUAUCCCAACACAAAAUUUGAGGCGCCAUGGCGACCCGAAUUUGUGAGAAGGAGCGGAGAGAGAAAGGAAAGAAGAUAAGAAAUAAAGAAGAGGGGAAAGAAAAGUGAAGAUAAAUAGGGAA